ACAAAGAUUGGGAUCACCUCAAAAAACUACUUCUAAACAGGGUAUGCAUGCCAAAGCAGCCAAGAGAAAACACUGAAUCCUCUUGGAGCUGGAGUUACAGGCUUCAUUACAAUGAGUUUUGACCUGGCAUCUCUCAAUUCCAAAGACUUUAAAAGAGUACCUGGCCAUCAGAGUC